GGACUACACGGGUUUCUAAUCCUGUUUGCUACCCACGCUUUCGUGUCUCAGCGUCAGAAGUGGUCCAGUAAGCUGUCUACACCACAGGUGUUCCUUCUGAUAUCUACGCAUUUCACCGCUACACCAGAAAUUCCGCUUACCUCUCCCACCCUCAAGCCCGCCAGUUUUCGGCGCACCCUCCCAGUUAAGCCGGGAGAUUUCACACCAAACUUGGCGAACCGCCUACACACUCUUUACGCCCAGUAAUUCCGAACAACGCUUGCUGCCUACGUAUUACCGCGGCGGCUGGCAC
rnacentral:rRNA from 1 species